rnacentral:lncRNA from 1 species
GACCACCGACCCCCCGCCGGGAGCCCACUUACAGGCCCUCCAAGCAGUACAACGAGAGGUCUGGAAGCCACUAGCUGCUGCUUAUCAGGACCAGCAAGACCAGCCAGUGAUACCACACCCCUUCCGUGUCGGUGACACUGUGUGGGUACGCCGGCACCAGACUAAGAACUUAAAACCUCGCUGAAAAGGACCCUACACCGUCCUGCUGACCACCCCCACCGCUCUCAAAGUAGACGGCAUCGCUGCGUGGAUCCACGCCGCUCACGUAAAGGCGGCGACAACUCCUCCGGCCGGAACAGCAUCAGGACCGACAUGGAAGGUCCAGCGUUCUCAAAACCCCUUAAAGAUAAGAUUAACCCGUGGGGCCCCCUGAUAGUCCUGAGAAUCUUAGUAAGGGCAGGAGUAGCGGUACAGGACAAACAGCUAACGCUACCUCCCUCCUAGGGACCUAAUUUCCCUUAAGCGAGAAAACACCUCUCGGAAUCAGAGAUCCAGAAAAAGUAAAAUCACGUGAAUAAAAGAUUUUAUUCAGUUUCCAGAAAGAGGGGGGAAUGAAAGACCCCACCAUCAGGCUUAGCAAGCUAGCUGCAGUAACGCCAUUUUGCAAGGCAUGAAAAAGUACCAGAGCUGAGUUCUCAAAAGUUACAAGAAAGUUCAGUUAAAGAUUAACAGUUAAAGAUUAAGGCUGAAUAAUACUGGGACAGGGGCCAAAUAUCGGUGGUCAAGCACCUGGGCCCCGGCUCAGGGCCAAGAACAGAUGGCUCUCAGACGUCAGUGUUAGCAGAACUAGCUUCACUGAUUUAGAAAAAUAGAGGUGCACAAUGCUCUGGCCACUCCUUGAACCUGUGUGUCUGCCAAUGUUCUGACCAGGUGUGUGCCCAUUGCUGCACCUUCAUUAGACUCUUUCCUUGUACCCCUCCCAUACCCAUUUCUUGAAAAUAGACAUUGUUUAGAUCUAAAAAGUUCCACCUCAGUUUCAGGUUCCCCAAAUGACCGGAAAAUACCCCAAACCUUAUUUGAACUAACCAACCAGCUCGCUUCUUGCUUCUGUACCCGCGCUUUUUUGCUCCCCAGCCCUAUAAAAAGGGUAAACACCCCACACUCGGCGCGCCAGUCCUCCGAUAGACUGAGUCGCCCGGGUACCCGUGUUCCCAAUAAAGCCUCUUGCUGUUUGCAUCCGAAA